UACGUAGGGGGCAAGCGUUGUCCGGAUUUAUUGGGCGUAAAGAGCGUGUAGGCGGUUCGGUAAGUCUGCCGUGAAAACCUGGGGCUCAACCCUGGGCGUGCGGUGGAUACUGCCGGGCUAGAGGGUGGUAGAGGCGAGUGGAAUUCCCGGUGUAGCGGUGAAAUGCGCAGAUAUCGGGAGGAACACCAGUAGCGAAGGCGGCUCGCUGGGCCAUUCCUGACGCUGAGACGCGAAAAGCUAGGGGGAGCGAAACAGG
rnacentral:rRNA from 1 species